rnacentral:rRNA from 1 species
GAUGAACGCUGGCGGCGUGCUUAACACAUGCGAGUCGAACGGUGAAGGCGGAGCUUGCUCUGCUGGAUCAGUGGCGAACGGGUGAGUAACACGUGAGCAAUCUGCCCCUGACUCUGGGAUAAGCGCUGGAAACGGCGUCUAAUACUGGAUACGAGCUGCGAAGGCAUCUUCAGCAGCUGGAAAGAAUUUCGGUCAGGGAUGAGCUCGCGGCCUAUCAGCUUGUUGGUGAGGUAAUGGCUCACCAAGGCGUCGACAGGUAGCCGGCCUGAGAGGGUGACCGGCCACACUGGGACUGAGACACGGCCCAGACUCCUACGGGAGGCAGCAGUGGGGAAUAUUGCACAAUGGGCGAAAGCCUGAUGCAGCAACGCCGCGUGAGGGACGACGGCCUUCGGGUUGUAAACCUCUUUUAGCAGGGAAGAAGCGAAAGUGACGGUACCUGCAGAAAAAGCGCCGGCUAACUACGUG